rnacentral:rRNA from 1 species
UAUACAGCGAAACUGCGAAAGGCUCAUUCUAUAAGUUAUCGUUUAUUUGAUAGUGCCUUUCCUACUUGGAUAACCGUGGUAAUUCUAGAGCUAAUACAUGCUAAAAAUCCCGACUUCGGAAGGGAUGUAUUUAUUAGAUUAAAAACCAAUGCCCUUCGGGGCUCUUUGGUGAUUCAUAAUAACUUCACGGAUCGCACGGCCUUGCGCCGGCGAUGGUUCAUUCAAAUUUCUUCCCUAUCAACUUUCGAUGUUUGGGUCUUGGCCAAACAUGGUGGCAACGGGUAACGGAGGGUUAGGGCUCGACCCCGGAGAAGGAGCCUGAGAAACGGCUACUACAUCCAAGGAAGGCAGCAGGCGCGCAAAUUACCCAAUCCCAAUUCGGGGAGGUAGUGACAAUAAAUACUGAUACAGGGCUCUUUUGGGUCCUGUAAUUGGAAUGAGUACAAUUUAAAUCCCUUAACGAGGAACAAUUGGAGGGCAAGUCUGGUGCCAGCAGCCGCGGUAAUUCCAGCUCCAAUAGCGUAUAUUAAAGUUGUUGUGGUUAAAAAGCUCGUAGUUGAACCUUGGGCCUGGCUGGCCGGUCCGCCUCACCGCGUGUACUGGUCCGGCCGGGCCUUUCCCUCUGUGGAACUCCAUGCCCUUCACUGGGUGUGGCAGGGAAACAGGACUUUUACUUUGAAAAAAUUAGAGUGCUCCAGGCAGGCCUUUGCUCGAAUAUAUUAGCAUGGAAUAAUAAAAUAGGACGUGCGGUUCUAUUUUGUUGGUUUCUAGGACCGCCGUAAUGAUUAAUAGGGACAGUCGGGGGCAUCAGUAUUCCAUAGUCAGAGGUGAAAUUCUUGGAUCUAUGGAAGACUAACUACUGCGAAAGCAUUUGCCAAGGAUGUUUUCAUUAAUCAGGAACGAAAGUUCGGGGAUCGAAGACGAUCAGAUACCGUCGUAGUCCGAACAGUAAACUUUGCCGACUAGGGAUCGGACGA